AUCAACUCGAAUCGAUCGAACGAUGAAACGUACGUGUCCACGUGGUACGAUAAUAUUAUUCUCGGCGUCGGACGACGACGAUUAGAAGACGGGUUUCAGUGAGUGUUCCGAUUGUGUAAACGGCUGUCGUUGAGGGUUCGAUUUGUAAGGCGAAAAAGUUUAACGAGGAAGUGAAUAAAAGUGAUACAGUAUACGCGCACGUUCGAUACGGACAAUCAAUCGGCAGAAGCGUCGAAGCGAACAUCAAAGCGAAGUUGCCACGCAGUGCCGUAUGGCUGAUACAAGGAUCGGAAGUGCUGAUCGACGGUGGGACGGAUGUAUCGAUAGAGAAGGGCUCCGCAGUACAGUUGCAGGAAGAACACGAUCAUUAUUUCUUCAACUAUAUACAGAGCCUGCGCCGCGUUGCAAUUCGCUUCGACAUCGGGACUUUGGAGGGCUGAGGGAAAGCCGACGACUACGGGGAGGCUCGUUGCCUGCACUUUUCCCGUAAUCCUCGCUCCCGGAUUUCCCUCCCCAGACUCGAGGCAAAGAUUCGUCGUAUAUUUAGACGCUCCAUCUCCUCCCUUUGUUUUCCCUCGAUGUUCAAUCACCG
rnacentral:misc_RNA from 1 species